AGAUUGAACGCUGGCGGCAUGCUUUACACAUGCAAGUCGAACGGUAACAGGCCGCAAGGUGCUGACGAGUGGCGAACGGGUGAGUAAUGUAUCGGAACGUGCCCAGUCGUGGGGGAUAACGCAGCGAAAGCUGCGCUAAUACCGCAUACGAUCUAUGGAUGAAAGCGGGGGACCUAAGGCCUCGCGCGAUUGGAGCGGCCGAUAUCAGAUUUAGGUAGUUGGUGGGGGUAAAGCUACACCAAGCCAACGAUCUGUAGCUGGUCUGAGAGGACGACCAGCCCA
rnacentral:rRNA from 1 species